rnacentral:tRNA from 1 species
CGGGCCUUAAAACCCUUUAAA